CUACGGGUCGCUGCAGUGAGGAAUAUUGCACAAUGGGGGGAACCCUGAUGCAGCAACGCCGCGUGGAGGAUGACGCAUUUCGGUGUGUAAACUCCUUUUAUAUGUCAAGAAAAUGACGGUAGCAUAUGAAUAAGCACCGGCUAACUCCGUGCCAGCAGCCGCGGUAAUACGGAGGGUGCAAGCGUUACUCGGAAUCACUGGGCGUAAAGGACGCGUAGGCGGGUUGGUAAGUCAGGUGUGAAAUCCUACAGCUUAACUGUAGAACUGCACUUGAAACUACCGACCUAGAGUAUGGGAGGGGAAGAUGGAAUUAGUGGUGUAGGGGUAAAAUCCGUAGAUAUCACUAGGAAUACCUAAAGCGAAGGCGAUCUUCUGGAACAUUACUGACGCUAAGGCGUGAAAGCGUGGGGAGCAAACAGGAUUAGAUACCCGUGUAGUC
rnacentral:rRNA from 1 species